rnacentral:rRNA from 1 species
UACGAGGGGGGCAAAUGUUGUUCGGAAUCACUGGGCGUAAAGGGCGCGUAGGCGGCUUGGCAAGUGGAUGGUGAAAUCCCUCGGCUUAACCGAGGAACUGCCAUCCAGACUGCUUUGCUUGAGGCCGGGAGAGGUGAGUGGAAUUCCCAGUGUAGCGGUGAAAUGCGUAGAUAUUGGGAGGAACACCAGUGGCGAAGGCGGCUCACUGGACCGGUUCUGACGCUGAGGCGCGAAAGCGUGGGGAGCAAACGGG